AUGGGUGAGCCAGCGGAUAGGCGACCGGUUUCCAAGUCCGGCGGAAUGCGGGUUCGACUCCUGCCGCCCAUG
rnacentral:tRNA from 1 species